rnacentral:rRNA from 1 species
AGAGUUUGAUCAUGGCUCAGAACGAACGCUGGCGGCAGGCUUAACACAUGCAAGUCGAGCGCCCAGCAAUGGGAGCGGCGCACGGGUGAGUAACACGUGGGAACACGCCCUAUGGUUCGGAAUAACGCAGGGAAACUUGCGCUAAUACCGGAUAAGCCCUUACGGGGAAAGAUUUAUCGCCAUUGGAGUGGCCCGCGUUGGAUUAGCUAGUUGGUGGGGUAAAAGCCUACCAAGGCAACGAUCCAUAGCUGGUUUGAGAGAACGACCAGCCACACUGGGACUGAGACACGGCCCAGACUCCUACGGGAGGCAGCAGUGGGGAAUCUUGGACAAUGGGGGAAACCCUGAUCCAGCCAUGCCGCGUGAGUGAUGAAGGCCCUAGGGUUGUAAAACUCUUUCGGCGGGGACGAUAAUGACGGUACCCGCAGAAGAAGCUCCGGCUAACUUCGUGCCAGCAGCCGCGGUAAUACGAAGGGGGCUAGCGUUGUUCGGAAUUACUGGGCGUAAAGCGCGCGCAGGCGGUCCUUUAAGUCGGGGGUGAAAGCCCAGAGCUCAACUCUGGAACUGCCUUCGAAACUAGAGGACUUGGGUACGGGAGAGGUGAGUGGAAUUCCGAGUGUAGAGGUGAAAUUCGUAGAUAUUCGGAAGAACACCAGUGGCGAAGGCGGCUCACUGGCCCGUUUACCGACGCUCAGGCGCGACAGCGUGGGGAGCAAACAGGAUUAGAUACCCUAGUAGUCC